rnacentral:rRNA from 1 species
AGAGUUUGAUCCUGGCUCAGAUUGAACGCUGGCGGCAGGCCUAACACAUGCAAGUCGAACGGUAACAGGAAGCAGCUUGCUGCUUUGCUGACGAGUGGCGGACGGGUGAGUAAUGUCUGGGAAACUGCCUGAUGGAGGGGGAUAACUACUGGAAACGGUGGCUAAUACCGCAUAACGUCGCAAGACCAAAGAGGGGGACCUUCGGGCCUCUUGCCAUCAGAUGUGCCCAGAUGGGAUUAGCUUGUUGGUGAGGUAACGGCUCACCAAGGCGACGAUCCCUAGCUGGUCUGAGAGGAUGACCAGCCACACUGGAACUGAGACACGGUCCAGACUCCUACGGGAGGCAGCAGUGGGGAAUAUUGCACAAUGGGCGCAAGCCUGAUGCAGCCAUGCCGCGUGUAUGAAGAAGGCCUUCGGGUUGUAAAGUACUUUCAGCGGGGAGGAAGGUGUUGUGGUUAAUAACCGCAGCAAUUGACGUUACCCGCAGAAGAAGCACCGGCUAACUCCGUGCCAGCAGCCGCGGUAAUACGGAGGGUGCAAGCGUUAAUCGGAAUUACUGGGCGUAAAGCGCACGCAGGCGGUCUGUCAAGUCGGAUGUGAAAUCCCCGGGCUCAACCUGGGAACUGCAUUCGAAACUGGCAGGCUUGAGUCUUGUAGAGGGGGGUAGAAUUCCAGGUGUAGCGGUGAAAUGCGUAGAGAUCUGGAGGAAUACCGGUGGCGAAGGCGGCCCCCUGGACAAAGACUGACGCUCAGGUGCGAAAGCGUGGGGAGCAAACAGGAUUAGAUACCCUGGUAGUCCACGCCGUAAACGAUGUCUACUUGGAGGUUGUGCCCUUGAGGCGUGGCUUCCGGAGCUAACGCGUUAAGUAGACCGCCUGGGGAGUACGGCCGCAAGGUUAAAACUCAAAUGAAUUGACGGGGGCCCGCACAAGCGGUGGAGCAUGUGGUUUAAUUCGAUGCAACGCGAAGAACCUUACCUGGUCUUGACAUCCACGGAAGAAUUCAGAGAUGGAUUUGUGCCUUCGGGAACCGUGAGACAGGUGCUGCAUGGCUGUCGUCAGCUCGUGUUGUGAAAUGUUGGGUUAAGUCCCGCAACGAGCGCAACCCUUAUCCUUUGUUGCCAGCGGUCCGGCCGGGAACUCAAAGGAGACUGCCAGUGAUAAACUGGAGGAAGGUGGGGAUGACGUCAAGUCAUCAUGGCCCUUACGACCAGGGCUACACACGUGCUACAAUGGCGCAUACAAAGAGAAGCGACCUCGCGAGAGCAAGCGGACCUCAUAAAGUGCGUCGUAGUCCGGAUUGGAGUCUGCAACUCGACUCCAUGAAGUCGGAAUCGCUAGUAAUCGUGGAUCAGAAUGCCACGGUGAAUACGUUCCCGGGCCUUGUACACACCGCCCGUCACACCAUGGGAGUGGGUUGCAAAAGAAGUAGGUAGCUUAACCUUCGGGAGGGCGCUUACCACUUUGUGAUUCAUGACUGGGGUGAAGUCGUAACAAGGUAACC